rnacentral:lncRNA from 1 species
CCCUCCUUUUAGAGCUUCAGUUUAACUUUAUGCUCAUGGACUGCGAGCGUAAGCCUCUGAAGUUUAUUUAGUUCUCAAUACAUUUGAGAUGGAUUAACAUUUAGUAUGAGCUCCAAUGAUUUCAAGUAGAGACUCUAUCCUGUGCUCUAGAAAUGAAGUUUAAGCUUUUGUUCACAAUCGGUUAAUGACUAAUUUGCUUGACAAAGUUACAAUGAGAUUACAUUUCUUUUCUUUCUGUUUUUUAAGUGCAAUCAAUUUGUGAUGGAACACACCAUCUCCUUUCAUCUCUACAUCUUAUCUUGAGAUUUUUCAAGUUAAUCUGUAAUUUUUUAUGUUCUGCUUGAAUUAGAUUCAUUCUCUCCCAUCGGCUAACAAAAAUUGAACAUUUAAUAAAUUUAUUGACUGGUCAAAUUUCUCUUUUCUUUUGUGUCAAAGUAAUUCCCCCUCUUUGUUUAUCCUUAAUAGCUUGGCCAAUGGAAUGUAGUAAUUUCGAGAUUGGAUUUGAAUUUUGAUUUAUAAUUAAGGAUUCCCAAAUAUUAGGUUGUAGAUAAAUAAGGCAGACUCAUUUCAUGUCAUUUUCCUUAUCAUCUUUCUAAGUGGAAUACAUGAAUCCAUAACUUAUAGUUCCUAUCAAUUAGAUUUGUGGAACAAAGAAGUUCUGUAUUAAAAGUUCAGAUUUAGGAUUGGGAUUCAUUACCAUUCUUUAAUCCAUAAUGCCAUCCAAAAGAAGGUAGGGAGUUUUUACCCACUCAAAUUCAAAUCUUAUGCGUAAAUACCAUCCAAAUUCCAACAUGUAAAACAAACUUUCCUUUAGUUUUCUGAUCAGGAUAAGUAUACUUAUAAUAACAUAAGAACCCCAGUACCUCAAAUCUUAGUUUAGCUUCUUUACCUUGUCACUUGUGGUUGUGGAUACUUGUAAAAACUUUAAGUUAACAUGGCACAGUAUGCCUUCCUUGGUUUAUAUCUAUGAUGUUAGAAUAUAUAGUUUCUAUCAGUAUAAAAAACCCAAACUGUAAAAAAAAAAUUAAUACCAAUAUGUAUAUGAAUACAAUUACUCAUACAUCUAUUACACAAAAAUAAAAGUAAUCUCUAAUUGUUAAAAAAAAAAAUUGUUUUUAAGACUUAACAAUACCAAAUUCACGAAAUCAACAAACAUGAGCUAACCAAAACUGUACAAAAUCAUUCCAAACUAAUCAUAACAUAGGCAAAAAUCGACAAACAUGAGCUUAGUUGGAAUUUUCAACACAGUAGGAAGAAUUGAACGAAGAAUACACAAUAAGAACAUGAAAGAAACAUACUUUAGGUAUUUUAGGUUCGACUUCUUAAAAGAUUGAACAAAAGAAAUUGCAGAUUCAACAAUAAAAC